rnacentral:rRNA from 1 species
GACGAACGCUGGCGGCGUGCUUAACACAUGCAAGUCGAACGCGAAAACCCUUCGGGGUGAGUAGAGUGGCGAACGGGUGAGUAACACGUGGGCAACCUGCCCCAAGGAGCGGGACAACCCGGGGAAACUCGGGCUAAUACCGCAUGAUUCGCCGGCACUCAAGUGCCGGCGGCAAAUGGUAGCUUCGGCCCCCGCCGUGGGAUGGGCGCGCGGCGCAUUAGCUUGUUGGGGAGGUAACGGCUCACCAAGGCGACGAUGCGUAGCUGGUCUGAGAGGACGAUCAGCCACACUGGGACUGAGACACGGCCCAGACUCCUACGGGAGGCAGCAGUGGGGAAUCUUGCGCAAUGGGCGGAAGCCUGACGCAGCAACGCCGCGUGUGGGAAGACGGCCCUCGGGUUGUAAACCACUUUCAGGGGGGACGAAGCUUCCAGGGUUAAUAGCCCAUGGGGUGACGGUACCCCCAGAAGAAGCCCCGGCUAACUACGUGCCAGCCGCCGCCGUAAGAC